ACCUCCAUGGUUCCGAUCCCCUUACCUUCGGUCCAGGAAUCCUAUCCCAUUCUGCCAUCCGAGAAUAAUUUCAGCCACUCUUUUCUGAGCACCUCCACCUGUGUGUGUCCACGUGCCACCUCGAAGCUGACUGCAAGGUUUGGGGCCUGUAGUUCUGGGGUGACACGGCAGGAAUGCUCUGUAAAGGUGACCAGUGGAGAGGCCUAGACAGGGUCUGGGAAGGGUCCAGAUAAAGUCGUCAGAGAAACCGGAGGUGCCUCAGGGCAGGCGGGCCCAGGCAAGCCUCCUGGCUUUGAGGCUGAUUCUACAGCCCAGUAGCUGCGACCCUGGCUCCGAGGAGGAUCCGCAAGUUCUUCCAAAAAACUAAAGCACGAAGUCCUCGGGACCAAAUGAGGCCCCCCGUGGGCACACACAUACAUACCUCAUGCAUACACACGCAUGUGAUAUGCACAUGGAGAGAGAGCCACACCCCGCACGUAGGCCUCCCUUUCCAGUAUCCACAGAGCAUAUCACAAUGAUGUGCUCUUUUUCCCCAGAGAAGAACUCCACCAUUUCCUAAAAGCAGAAAUCGUUCAGACCCUGUUCUCUGACCAGCGUGCAACACUGCAGUCCAGCCUCGCCCUGGGCCCGGGCACUGGUGGUGCACGCGGCUCUGACGCUGGAGGGGAUGGUGCAGAGCAAACAUAACGUGCCAGGGGUGAGGUUUCCUCACUUUGUGGUUCUUCUCCUGCGUUAUCUGCAGGUUUGUUUCGCGAGCUCCCGUGCUGCUGUUUGGCGUACGGCCCCGGGACGGCCUCUCUCCGAAGAGCACUGUCACGGUCACAGUGAGCUAUUUAAUGCCCGCUUCUCGAGUUAGCCUGGAUUGUUUUUAUACUGCAAGCUGCUUCCUUGUUUGAAAGCCUUUCAGUCCAGACUUCCAUAGUCAAUCUUUCACAGAUACAAUUUUUUAUAUAAAUAGGUAGGUUUUAUUUAUUUAUUUAUUUAUGGUUUUGGGGUUUUGGGUUUUUUUUGCUUUGUUUUUUAUUUCAUGCAGAAUUUACUCCCAGGCCAUAAGUUUUCAUCUCUUCGGGUUCCCUGGGACAUCUCUUUCUUCUGUGCAACCCCUUCUUCUGGGUUCAGAAGAAUCUGUUGUCAGAGGUCUCCAAGUGGCAGGGGGAGCUUGCCCACGGGGUUUUCUGGGUCGAGUGAAGAGUCGGCCAUGUUCAGAGAUCCCCUGGUACCACUUACAGGAAAAGCAGCUUUGCUUUGACACCAUCAGACUAUUUUCCACGUCUUGGUGUUCUCGUCCUUGAAGAUGGACCCUGGCUCCCCAUUGAACACUCUCAUCUGCUGGGCCACAUGACGUUUUCUCCUUUAAAUGUUACAUUUGAAAAAACUGCAUGUAUUGUAAUGCUGAGGAGCAGAAAGGGCUGGAGAAAUAAUAAAGUUGACAUGAUUUUUUUUUU